rnacentral:rRNA from 1 species
GACGAACGCUGGCGGCGUGCUUAACACAUGCAAGUCGAACGGAAAGGCCCUGCUUUUGUGGGGUGCUCGAGUGGCGAACGGGUGAGUAACACGUGAGUAACCUGCCCUUGACUUUGGGAUAACUUCAGGAAGCUGGGGCUAAUACCGGAUAGGAGCUCCUGCUGCAUGGUGGGGGUUGGAAAGUUUCGGCGGUUGGGGAUGGACUCGCGGCUUAUCAGCUUGUUGGUGGGGUAGUGGCUUACCAAGGCUUUGACGGGUAGCCGGCCUGAGAGGGUGACCGGCCAAAUUGGGACUGAGAUACGGCCCAGACUCCUACGGGAGGCAGCAGUGGGGAAUAUUGCACAAUGGGCGGAAGCCUGAUGCAGCAACGCCGCGUGCGGGAUGACGGCCUUCGGGUUGUAAACCGCUUUCGCCUGUGACGAAGCGUGAGUGACGGUAAUGGGUAAAGAAGCACCGGCUAACUACGUG